CAUGCCGUAAACGUUGGGCGCUAGGUGUGGGACUCAUUCCACGAGUUCCGUGCCGCAGCUAACGCAUUAAGCGCCCCGCCUGGGGAGUACGGCCGCAAGGCUAAAACUCAAAGGAAUUGACGGGGGCCCGCACAAGCGGCGGAGCAUGUGGAUUAAUUCGAUGCAACGCGAAGAACCUUACCAAGGCUUGACAUAUACCGGAAACACCUAGAGAUAGGUGCCCCGCAAGGUCGGUAUACAGGUGG
rnacentral:rRNA from 1 species